rnacentral:rRNA from 1 species
UCGAACAGACCUAAAUUUUUUAGCUUCUACACCAAAAUUUUAUUUUAAUCCAACAUCGAGGUCGCAAUCUCUUUUUUCGAUAAGAACUCUCAAAAAAAAUUACGCUGUUAUCCCUAAGGUAAUUUAAUCUUUUAAUCUAAAUAAUAGGAUCAUUUACUCAUAAAUUAAUGUUGAUAUAAAAAAAAAGUUUAUUAAAUUUUUUAAUCACCCCAACUAAAUUAUGAAUUAUAUAAAAAAUAAUGAAUUCUAAUUUUAUUUAUAUAAUUAAUAAUAAAACUCUAUAGGGUCUUCUCGUCUUUUAUUAAUAUUUAAGCUUUUUUACUUAAAAAUAAAGUUUUAAUUAAUUUAAAUAGAGACAGUUAUUUUCUCAUCUAACCUUUCAUUCCAGCUUUCAAUUAAAAAACUAAUGAUUAUGCUACCUUUGCACGGUCAAAUUACCGCGGCCAUUUAAUUACUCAUUGGGCAGGCCAGACUUUAAAUUAUAAACAAAAA